GCUGGGCUGUGGCCCCGCGCUCUAUGCCCUGGGCCAGGCUGCUGCUGGAGAGGGGACGGGCCCCAUGUGGCUGAUGGAGUGCAGGGGGACGGAGCUGUCUCUGCAGGACUGCUGGGCCCAGCCAGGGGACAGCAGUGCCUGCCAGCAUAAGGCAGAUGCGGCUGUGCAUUGCUCAGCUGCACCCAGGACAGCAAUACUCCCCCCACAAGCAGAUCCCCCACGGGGCCGUCCAACCACCAGCAGCGAGAGACUCUCGGUGCCUGUCGUCAUCUGCAUCAUCCUGGGGGCCCUCCUCUGCCUGCUCCUGGCCCUCCUGGCUGGGCAGGUGCGAAGUGCCAGGGCUCGGCGCAGAGGUGGGUCCUUCCCCAGUGGUCCUGGGGGGAGAUGCCUCUUGGCAGGGCUGGGGGUGUUGGUGUCCUGGGGUACAGAAACAGAGCUGUGUGCUGCCUCCUGCCCCAUGUGCUGGCCCACUGACUGACAGACCAUGGGGCACCAACAUCAAGGGGUGGAGAGAGCCCAGAGCCUGAGGCAUCCGUUCUGGGGUGAGAAGAGAAAUGUGAGAUCUGGGCUGGGUGAGACGGGGAGGAUGCACUGCUGGCAGUGCUCUGGGCAGCACUGGCAGGAGGAGCGUGGGGCAGCGGAGUCCAUCACUGUGGUGUCAGCCACCUCCCAACAGGACACGGGCUGUGCUAUUGCUGUGUGGGGCAGAGAUGGAGAAGAUCCAUGGGGAAGGGAAAUGAGGGAACUGGUGCAGGGUCUGCACUGGGACGUGACCCAGGGACCAAAGGGGAACAAGGGCUGUCUCCAAAGGGAUGGUGCGAGGCUGACUGCACCCCAGACCAUCUCCAUGGGGAUGCUGCCCUCCCUGGGGAUGUGGUUGCAGUGCCAACAC
rnacentral:lncRNA from 1 species